UGACGUCAGAUCAGACGUAGUGACCCGCUGAAUUUAAGCGUAUUAGUGAGCGGAGGAAAAGAGACUAACCAGGAUUCCCUCAGUAACGGUGAGUGAAGAGGGAAGAGCCCAGCGCCAAAUCCCCGCCCUGUGGUGGGGUGCAGGAAAUGUUGUGUAUGGAAGGCCCAGUCCCCGGCACCGCUCAUGGGUGGCCCAAGUCCUGUUCUAGGCCAAGACUGUGGAUGUUGUGAGGCUGGUAGCGGUCCCUGGCGUGCUGGACCCAGGUGUCCUGGAGUUGGGUUGCUUGGGAAUGCAGACCAAAGUGGGUGGUAAACAUCUAAGGCUAAAUACUGGCAUGAGACUUCUAGUGAAGUACCAUAAGGGAAAGUUGAAAAGAACUUUGAAGAGCGUGCAAGAGGGCGUGAAACCAUUAAGAGGUAAAUGGGUAGGGUCCACGCAGUCUGCUCGGAGGAUUCAACCCGGCAGUCGAUCCAGCCGUGUCAGUGGCCUGGUGGAUCUUUCCCGUCCCCGUUUCUCCCGACACCUCCACCAGCCCUCCCUCCCCCACUGCCCCUCCUCCUCCCCGGAGGGGCUGGGCUCCGGUGGGUGUGGGGGUGGGGGGGGCCAUGGUCGGUGGGGGACUAUCCCCCAGUCGGCGACUGGCGGCCGGCGGGUGCAUUUCCACUGCGGCAGUGCACUGUGACUGGCUCUGGGAUGGUUGGGAAGGCCUGGUGGGGAAGGGUGGGUCUGGGGGUCCCGUUCGUCCUUCCCCGUCUUCUCCCCGGCCCCGCAUCCUCCCUUGGGAGGCCGUGCGGGUUGGGGUGGCAGCAGUGGUGGGACCGAACCUCCUGAGUUACAGACCCCCCACGACAGCCCUUGCCAAAUCCCAGGGCUGAGGGAGUGAGACCCAUUGCCAUGCUCUCCCCACCAGUGCCCCCCCCUGUGGGGGUGCGCCGGUGUCUCCUUGUGGGGGGCCAGGCCAACCCUCCCAAGGUGUGACUGCUCUCCCACCCCCCUCCCUGCAUCCCUGGUGAUGGGGGGCCGAGUAAGGGGGUGGGCGGCUGUCCCCAGUGUGCCAGGGGUGGGUUGCGCUGUCGGCCUGGGGGAGUUCUCUCCGGGCCAUGCGGACGUCCCUCAGUGGGAGUGAGAACACGGGGUCGGCGGCAACGUUGGGUCUCCACUGGACACCCGACCCGUCUUGAAACAUGGACCAAGGUUAACACGUGCGUGAGUCAGGGGCUCGCACGAAAGCCGCUGUGGAGCAAUGAAGGUGAAGCCCGGUGUGCUCUCUGGCCGAGGUGGGAUCCCGAGGCCUCUCCAGUCUGCUGAUGGCGUACCACCAUCCCGUCUUAUCUGCCACGCCAGGGAGGUGGAGCACGAGAGCACGUGUUAGGACCAGAAAGAUGGUGAACUAUGCCUGGGCAGGGUGGAGCCAGAGGAAACUCUGGUGGAGGUCCGUAGCAGCCCUGACAUGCAAAUUGGUCUUUCGACCUGGGUAUAGGGGUGAAAGACUAAUCGAACUAUCUAGUAGCUGUUUCUCUCUGAAGUUUCCCUCAGGAUACCUGGUGCUCUAACAAACCUAACGUCCCCACGCAGUUUUAUCUUUUAAAGCGAAUGAUUAGAGGUCUUGAGGCUGAAACGAUCUCAACCUAUUCUGAAACUUUAAAUGUGUAAGAAGGCCGGCUCGCUGGCGUGGAGCCGGGCAUGGAAUGCGAGUGCUUAGUGGGCUAUUUUUGGCAAGUAGAACUGGCACUGUGGGAUGAACUGAAUGCCGGGUUAAGGUGCCUGGUGCCAACACACAUCAGAUGCCAGAGAAGGUGUUUGUUGAUAUACACAGCCGGACGGUGGCCAUGGAAGUUGGAAUCCGCUAUGGAGUGUGUAACAACUCACCUGCCGAAUCAACUAGCCCUGAAAAUGGAUGGUGCUGGAGCGUCGGGCCCAUACCCGGCUGUUGCCGGCAGUUGAGAGUGGACGGGAGCGGCAGGGGCGGUAUGCCCAUGUGAGUGUGGUGGGGGUCCUCUCCUGCCCCCUCCCCCGGAGCCCCAUGGACUCUGCGUCGCGACGAGUAGCAGGGCCGCUGCGGUAAGCUUUGAAGCCUAGGGCGUGGGCCCAGGUGGAGCCGCCACAGGUGCAGAUCUUGUUGGUAGUAGCAAAUUUUCAAAUGAGAACUUUGAAGGCCGAAGUGGAGAAGAGUUCCACGUGAACAGUAGUUGAACAUGGGUCGGUCGGUCCUGAGAGAUUGCUGAGUGCCGUUCCGAAGGGACGGGUGAUGGCCUCUGUUGCCCUCAGCCGAUUGAAAGGGAGUCGGGUUUAGAUCCCUGAGUCCAGAGUGGCGGAGACGGGCACCACGAGACGUCCAGUGCGGUAAUAUGACCGAUCCUGAAGAAGCAUGCGGGAGCUCCCGGGAGGGUCCUCUUUUCUUUAUGAAGGACAGGGUGCCCUGGAAUGGGUUCACCCUGAGAGAGGGGCCUGUACCUUGGAAAGCGUCGUGGUUCUGGUGGCAUCUGGUGAGCUCUGGCUGGCCCUUGAAAAUCCACGGGAGACAGUGUAAGUCUCGCACAGGGCCAUACCCAUGUCUGCAGCAGGUCUCCAAGGUGAACAGACUCCGGCAUGUUGGAACAAUGUAGGUAAGGGAAGUCAGCCAGCCAGAUCCGUAACUUCGGGAUAAAUAUUGGCUGUAAGAGCUGGGUGGCAUGCCGCCACUGGAUGAGGCGCUCCUGCCCCCCCAACGCCCUGGGCGAGCCUGUCAUGGCCCUCCCCUGCCCCACCCCACGUGCCGCUCACUCCCUCCCUCGCCCCCUUUCUCCCCGUCCUCCCCCUCCCUGGGGGUGGCAGUGGAGGUAGGGCCCUGGUGGCGGGGCAUGAUCUCCCGUGAGGGCGGCCUGGAGAGCCGGUGUCGGUGGUGACUCUGGUCGUGAGUUGGGCCCUUCCCAUGGAUUGCCCCAGUUGUGGCCACCCAUGUGGAGCCCGGUGGGUGCUGGUGUGGCCUGUCUCGCUCCGUGCCAUCGUGCAUGUCCGCAUGGGCAGGGAGUGAUUGGGUGUCGGUGGGUGGUGGGGUGGGGUGGUUUGUUCCCCCAUCUCCCUCUGGCCCAAUCCGUCUCCCUUCCCCACCUCCGUGGCAGUGGCGGGAUGUUGGCUGGUCCCUGUCCCCGGGGCCGCGGUUCCGUGCAGUGCCUCGGCCGGUGCUUAGCAGCCAACUUACAACUGUUGUGCACCAGGGGAAUCCGACUGUUUAAACAAAGCAUUGCAAAGGCCCUCGGGGGUGUUGCAAAGUGAUUUCUGCCCAGUGCUCUGAAUGUCAAAAUGAAGAAAUUCAAUGAAGCAUGGGUAAAUGGUGGGAGUAACUGUGACUAUCUUAAGGUAGCCAAAUGCCUCGUCAUCUAACUAGUGAUGUGCAUGAAUGGAUUAAUGAGAUUCUCACUGUCCCUACCUACUUACUCUCCAGUGAAAAAACAGCCAAGGGAAUGGGAUUGGUGGACUCAGUGGGGAAAGAAGACCCUGUCCAGCUUGACUCUAGUGUGGCAUGGUGAAGAGAUGUGAGAGGUGUAGAAUAAGUGGGAGGUCCCCAGUGCCCCCCUGUCCCCGUGAGGGGGUGGGGUGGGGUCCUGUGGGCUGCCCAUGGAAUACUACUACUCUGACCGUUUUUCACUGACCCGGUGAGGCAGGGGGUGAGCCCCGAGGGGCUCUCCCUUCUGGCGCCAAGUGCCCAGCUGUGCACCAGCCGGAUGUGACCUGUUCCGGGGACAGUGCCAGGUAGGGAGUUUGCAGCGGUAAACCUGUUGAACGGUAAUGCAGGUGUCCUAAGGCGAGCUCAGGGAGGACAGAAAUUUCUUAAGGAGAAGAGCAAAAGCUCGCUUGAUAUUAACUUUCAGUGCGAAUGCAGACUGAAAGCCGGGCUUUGACGAUCCUUCUCACCUUUUUAAGCAGGAGGUUGUCAGGAAGUUACCACAGGGGAUAACUGGCUUGUUGCGGCCAAGUGUUCUUAGGGACGCUGCUUUUUGAUCCUUUGAUGUUGGCUCUUCCUAUCAUUGUGAAGUAGAAUUCACCCAGCAUUGGAUUGUUCAACUAAUAGGGCAUGUGAGCUGGAUUUAGACCAUCAUGAGACAGGUUAGUUUUACCCUACGUGAUGUGUUGCCAUGUUACCUACUCAGCAUGAGAGGAACCACAGGUUCAGACAUGUGCUUGGUUUAGGAGCCAAUGGGGUGAAGCUACCGUCUGUUGGAUUAUGACUGAACGCCUCUAAGUCAGAAUCCCACCCAAGUGGAAGGAUACAGCAACACUGUGGAGCCUUGGUUGGCCUUGGAUAGCCGGUUCCCCUUCCCUGCUGGUGGGCUGCCGCACCCUGGGGGGGUGUGCCCCACCGUGUGCCAGGACUGGGUCCAGUGCAGAGUGCCCUUCAUCUUGGGAAGGGUGUGGCCGGAAAGGCGACCUACUCGCCCGUCAUGCAACACACUUUCGGGGGGAACUUGGCGCUAAACCAUUCGUAGACGACCUGCUUCUGGGUCAGAAUUUCGUAAGUAGCAGAGCAUCUCCCUUGCUGUGAUCUAUUGAAAGUCAGCCCUUGACACAAGGGUUUGU
rnacentral:rRNA from 1 species